rnacentral:sRNA from 1 species
AUUUGAGUACACUCUGCUUUUCAUUGAAA